GAACGCUGGCGGCAGGCCUAAUACAUGCAAGUCGAACGGCAGCACAGUGGAGCUUGCUCCAUGGGUGGCGAGUGGCGGACGGGUGAGGAAUACAUGGGAAUCUGCCCAGUCGUGGGGGAUAACGUAGGGAAACUUACGCUAAUACCGCAUGCGCCCUUCGGGGGAAGGCCGGGGACCUUCGGGCCUGGCGCGAUUGGAUGAGCCCAUGUCGGAUUAGCUAGUUGGCGGGGUAAAGGCCCACCAAGGCGACGAUCCGUAGCUGGUCUGAGAGGAUGAUCAGCCACACUGGAACUGAGACACGGUCCAGACUCCUACGGGAGGCAGCAGUAGGGAAUAUUGGACAAUGGGCGCAAGCCUGAUCCAGCCAUGCCGCGUGAGUGAAGAAGGCCUUCGGGUUGUAAAGCUCUUUUGUCCGGAAAGAAAAGCAUCCAGUUAAUACCUGGAUGUCCUGACGGUACCGGAAGAAUUAGCACCGGCUAACUUCGUGCCAGCAGCCGCGGUAAUACGAAGGGUGCAAGCGUUACUCGGAAUUACUGGGCGUAAAGCGUGCGUAGGUGGUUUGUUAAGUCUGAUGUGAAAGCCCUGGGCUCAACCUGGGAAUGGCAUUGGAUACUGGCAGGCUAGAGUGCGGUAGAGGGCAGUGGAAUUCCCGGUGUAGCAGUGAAAUGCGUAGAGAUCGGGAGGAACAUCUGUGGCGAAGGCGACUGCCUGGACCAGCACUGACACUGAGGCACGAAAGCGUGGGGAGCAAACAGGAUUAGAUACCCUGGUAGUCCACGCCCUAAACGA
rnacentral:rRNA from 1 species